UUCUCUUUCUUAGUUUCAGCCGUUCUCACUUCUCUCUAUUGCUCCACUGCCAUCUUCUUCCUCCCUUCAAGAAUUCCACUGUCGAAUUCGGCGCACCCCCACCAUCAGGUUUCUCAGGCGAGCUUCACGCGAUACAACCCUGUUUUUUUUUUUAGUCAAAAGACGAAUUUUUCUAGCUCUAAGAUUUGACUUACACUGUUUCAACAAUGAAGAAAAGAAAUGAUACCUCCCAAUUAUCCAACCAAGAUGCCUCCAAUGUGCAAAAAAGAUCAAGACUUGAAAAGGGGAAACACAUUCUUCCACCCUCUGAAUCUCAUUUGAAUGGGCAUUUGUCAUUCACAAAGAAGAAAGACAAAGCCAGGUAUCAAGACAUUUAUAGAAGAUCAAUCAUUCCAUCCUUGGCUCAUGGGUGCUACGUGGUGGAGGUAAAGGAAAGGGAACGCUAGACUAACCAUGAGUUGGAGAGAUUUGGGGGCAGAGUGUACAUCGACAGCUGCUCGACCGCCACAACUGAGGGAAUUACAGGAACUAAAGCUUAAAACUGUAUUUUUCCAGUUAGACUGCCUUUUGUUGUAUCAACGUUUGAGGGUUGUUUCAGCCAUGUAAACCUUAUUUUUUUGGGAUCUCAUGUAUCAAACUUUUAUCUUAAUGAAAAUCAAUCAUUUUAUGAUCAAAAUCAUUUGAUCCUAACUUG